rnacentral:rRNA from 1 species
UACGUAGGGUGCAAGCGUUGUCCGGAAUUAUUGGGCGUAAAGAGCUCGUAGGCGGUUUGUCGCGUCUGCUGUGAAAACUCGGGGCUUAACUCCGGGCCUGCAGUGGGUACGGGCAGACUAGAGUGCGGUAGGGGAGACUGGAAUUCCUGGUGUAGCGGUGAAAUGCGCAGAUAUCAGGAGGAACACCCGUGGCGAAGGCGGCUCACUGGGCUGACCUUGACGCUGAGGAGCGAAAGCGUGGGGAGCGAACAGG